rnacentral:rRNA from 1 species
UACGUAGGGUGCGAGCGUUGUCCGGAAUUGCUGGGCGUAAAGAGCUCGUAGGUGGUUUGUCGCGUCGUCUGUGAAAUUCCGGGGCUUAACUUCGGGCGUGCAGGCGAUACGGGCAAUACUUGAGUGCUGUAGGGGAGACUGGAAUUCCUGGUGUAGCGGUGAAAUGCGCAGAUAUCAGGAGGAACACCAAUGGCGAAGGCAGGUCUCUGGGCAGUAACUGACGCUGAGGAGCGAAAGCAUGGGUAGCGAACAGGAUUA